CCUACGGGAGGCAGCAGUGAGGAAUAUUGGUCAAUGGACGAGAGUCUGAACCAGCCAAGUAGCGUGAAGGAUGACUGCCCUAUGGGUUGUAAACUUCUUUUAUAUGGGAAUAAAAUGUUCCACGUGUGGGAUUUUGUAUGUACCAUAUUAAUAAGGAUCGGCUAACUCCGUGCCAGCAGCCGCGGUAAUACGGAGGCUCCGAGCGUUAUCCGGAUUUAUUGGGUUUAAAGGGAGCGUAGGUGGAUUGUUAAGUCAGUUGUGAAAGUUUGCGGCUCAACCGUAAAAUUGCAGUUGAAACUGGCAGUCUUGAGUACAGUAGAGGUGGGCGGAAUUCGUGGUGUAGCGGUGAAAUGCUUAGAUAUCACGAAGAACUCCGAUUGCGAAGGCAGUUCACUGGACUGCAACUGACACUGAGGCUCGAAAGUGUGGGUAUCAAACAGGAUUAGAUACCCGAGUAGUC
rnacentral:rRNA from 1 species